rnacentral:rRNA from 1 species
UACAGGGGGUGCAAACGUUGCUCGGAAUCAUUGGGCGUAAAGCGCACGUAGGCGGUUCGUUAUGUCGGAUGUGAAAGCCCUUGGCUUAACCGAGGAAGUGCAUCCGAAACUGGCGAGCUAGAGUACGAAAGAGGAUCGCGGAAUUCCCGGUGUAGAGGUGAAAUUCGUAGAUAUCGGGAGGAACACCGGUGGCGAAGGCGGUUCUCUGGGACGGUACUGACGCUGAGACGCGAAAGCGUGGGGAGCGAACAGG